rnacentral:rRNA from 1 species
UACAGAGGUCUCAAGCGUUGUUCGGAUUCAUUGGGCGUAAAGGGUGCGUAGGCGGCGCGGUAAGUCGGGUGUGAAAUCUUGGAGCUUAACUCCGAAACUGCAUUCGAUACUGCCGUGCUUGAGGACUGGAGAGGAGACUGGAAUUUACGGUGUAGCGGUGAAAUGCGUAGAUAUCGUAAGGAAGACCAGUGGCGAAGGCGGGUCUCUGGACAGUUCCUGACACUGAGGCACGAAGGCCCAGGGGAGCAAACGGG